AACGAACGCUGGCGGCAUGCCUAACACAUGCAAGUCGAACGAGACCUUCGGGUCUAUUGGCGUAUGGGUGCGUAACGCGUGGGAACCUGCCCUUAGGGUCGGAAUAACUCCCCGAAAGGGGUGCUAAUACCGGAUAAUUUCUUCGGACCAAAGAUUUAUCGCCCUUGGAGGGGCCCGCGUUGGAUUAGCUAGUUGGUAGGGUUAAAGCCUACCAAGGCGACGAUCCAUAGCUGGUCUGAGAGGAUGAUCAGCCACACUGGGACUGAGACACGGCCCAGACUCCUACGGGAGGCGGCAGUGGGGAAUAUUGGACAAUGGGCGAAAGCAUGAUCCAGCAAUGCCGCGUGAGUGAUGAAGGCAUUAGGGAUGUAAAGCUCUUUUACCCGGGAUGAUAAUGACAGUACCGGGAGAAUAAGCUCCGGCUAACUCCGUG
rnacentral:rRNA from 1 species